UUCAGAUCUUAUGAACACAUCUUCAUCUUCAUCCUCAAGUUUCGUUUGCUCUGCCUUUACGGUCUCCUUUCGUACAGAAAAGUUAGAGCAUAUUACUACACGAAUAUUUAUUAUUAAAGUCGCAACAUCCCUAGAAAGAUCAAUAAAAUACAAAUGUGUAUUGAUAUCAUGGUUUGUUCUACAAAGAACGAUGAAAUGUCUUGUCAUUCUAAAUCAAAUUAAAACUCGACAGCGGACUAUUUUUAUGUGCAUUUAGAACUUUGUUGACAGAUUGCGAUUCGUGCUCGCGUCGUCUGUCAAAGAUGAUUUGCAAAUUUUUCAUUCUAGAAGCAAGGAGAUUGAAAAUUAUUCACAGGAAAAACAGUUUGUUUUGAGGCAAACAAAAUCAACAUUCAAUUAAAUAAAAAAGAGAGUUAAGGAAUUUACGUGCUUUUCCAUGCAUUGUAAGAUUUCCAGAAUAUAGAACAUGUAGUUCCUGAUAAAAAAAAACACCAAAAGAUUGCUAAGAUAAAACUGUUGAGUAACUAUUUGUAAUACAGAAUGCAUCAAGAUGGUGGUAUGCUACAUAUAUAUAAUAUUGAUACUAUGACAGAUGAGAAAAGAAACUGAAGACAUAACCAAAUGCUGAAGUCAGCAAAGAUUAAGAUAUAAAGAGUAGAUAUUUUCCUGAAGAUCUCAUUUAUGUCUCGAAUGUGAAGGGACCAGAAGCUAUCAUGAUGAUUCUUUAAAGAAAAGAUACAGAAACACAAGCUCCUGUAGACACUUAUGAAAAAGAAGAUGUUUUUGCAAUGAAUAUGUGUGAAUGUGAUAAAUUAUGGCAAAUCAACAUGGUCAAUUAACAACAAUAUGUUCUACACAUUUCCUAGAUUUAUAAGUUUCAUAACAUUUAGUUGAGGCAAACUAAAGUUAGAUAACGGAAAACGAAAAAAAAUGGCAAAUAAAUAUUGUUAUUAAAUACUCAGUUUUAGUUAUUUUUA